UUAAUAAAGACCGGAUGGCAUAUUUGUAAAUAUCCGAGCCACUUAAUGAGACACGGUCGUUUUGGCCACGAAAAUGAAAUGUUUCUACUGGUUCAUGGAUGAAUAGUAACAUGCAACACGUGAAAGCAGAAAAUCUGGGCAAGGCAUCAAGAACAAACUAGGGUUUCAUGAACAGGGAGCCAUCUUCAUCUUCCCUAAAUCGACUCACACAAAAAUAUUUCCAGAAACACAAAUUGAGAGCAAUAUCCGAACCAGCCAAGCAUCAACAUCA
rnacentral:lncRNA from 1 species